UACGAGGGGGGCAAGCGUUGUUCGGAAUUACUGGGCGCAAAGCGUACGUAGGCGGCUUUGUAAGUUAGAGGUGAAAGCCCGGGGCUCAACUCCGGAACUGCCUUUAAGACUGCAUCGCUAGAACGUCGGAGAGGUGAAUGGAAUUCCGAGUGUAGAGGUGAAAUUCGUAGAUAUUCGGAAGAACACCGGUGGCGAAGGCGGCCCACUGGAUCGGUACUGACGCUGAGGUGCGAAAGCGUGGGGAGCAAACAGG
rnacentral:rRNA from 1 species